UACGUAGGUGGCAAGCGUUGUCCGGAUUUACUGGGCGUAAAGCGCGCGCAGGCGGAUUGGUCAGUCCGGGUGAAAUCUCACGGCUCAACUGUGAGCGGUCCCCGGAUACUGCCAGUCUCGAGGUGUCUAGAGGAGAGCGGAAUUCCCGGUGUAGUGGUGGAAUGCGUAGAUAUCGGGAAGAACACCAGUGGCGAAGCGGACUCUCGUGGGACCACCUAGACGGCUGAGGCGCGGAACGUGGGAGCGAA
rnacentral:rRNA from 1 species